GCGGCGGACGGGUGAGUAACACGUGGGUAACCUGCCUGUAAGACUGGGAUAACUCCGGGAAACCGGGGCUAAUACCGGAUGGUUGUUUGAACCGCACGGUUCAAACAUAAAAGGUGGCUUCGGCUACCACUUACAGAUGGACCCGCGGCGCAUUAGCUAGUUGGUGAGGUAACGGCUCACCAAGGCAACGAUGCGUAGCCGACCUGAGAGGGUGAUCGGCCACACUGGGACUGACACACGGCCCAGACUCCUACGGGAGGCAGCAGUAGGGAAUCUUCCGCAAUGGACGAAAGUCUGACGGAGCAACGCCUAGUGAGUGAUGAAGGUUUUCGGAUCGUAAA
rnacentral:rRNA from 1 species